CAGUAGCCACGGUAAUACGUAUGUCGCGAGCGUUAAUCGGAAUUACUGGGCGUAAAGCGUGCGCAGGCGGUUAUGUAAGACAGGUGUGAAAUCCCCGGGCUUAACCUGGGAACUGCGCUUGUGACUGCACAGCUAGAGUAUGGCAGAGGGGGGUGGAAUUCCACGUGUAGCAGUGAAAUGCGUAGAGAUGUGGAGGAACACCGAUGGCGAAGGCAGCCCCUGGGCCAAUACUGACGCUCAUGCACGAAAGCGUGGGGAGCAAACAGGAUUAGAUACCCCGGUAGUCCCUGUCUCUUAUACC
rnacentral:rRNA from 1 species